CCAAUUUGUUGUUCCAUAUCCAGUUCUAACUGUAGCUUCUUGUCCCACAUAGAGAUUUCUCAGGAGAAAGAUGGGGUGAUCAGGCACUCCCAUUUCUUUAAGAACUUGCCAUAGUCUGCUGAGGUCGACACAGUCAAAAGUUCUAGUGCUUUGUUAAAGAGAAAGUACCUGUCGCUCACAAGCCCCUGUAGGACAGACUCCACAGCAAGGAGAGGGGCUGUCUUUGAGCAUGUGAAGAGCUCCCUGUUCAGUGCCUUUGAGCAUGUGAAGAGCUCCCUGUUCAGGGCCUUGGAGUAGGUUAAGAGCUCCCUCUUCAGUGCCUUGGGGCGUGUGAGGAGUUCCAUGUUCAGUGCCUUUGUUCAUGAAGCUAUUUGUGGAUACAUUCUUUAUACCGUAGAACAGGAUAUGUUACAUGAGAACGCAAGUGGUGGCUGAUACCCCAAAGAUUACCGACGUUUCUGUUAAGCUGUGGGUGAACAUAUCAGACGACACAGCGAUUCUUCAAACAGCUCUUCUUUAUUCACAGGCCAGAACAGAACUGAAGGGUUCAGCCAGCCUGCUUAUACAGAGCUCCACUAGAACGCAACAAUAACCAUUUUCUGUAGCUAUCCAAUCACUGAACGUCACUUUCGAUCCCUUAUUUGCAUAUGGGGACCUGAACUAUCUACAGUAUCCCCCUGCUGGCCCAAGGUGAGAACUUCAGUACAUAACAGCUUCUUUCCCCUUUCUGGGCUUUGCGCCCAGCCCCCCAAGCUCACAGAUAAGGGUACCAUCCAAGCAGGCCAAUUUGUGGGUAUCAACGCGAGCUGUGUAUGAGCUCAAUGCUGCAGCUACUGCUGCCCAUUAAGAAUGGCGUCAUCUUGGAGGGGCCACUAGGGGCGCAUCGGAAGAUGGCUGACAAUAACAUCUCUCCGACCCACACGAGGUAAUUAGGAGUCUGUGAUGAGAGUAAAUAGCCUCCCUACCCCCCCAAGGUUAUGGGGGGGCUGCCCUUGCCUGCUGUGCUCUAUACCACCCCCGAAUUUGUGGGGAUGGGGGCACUAGGCAGAAUGCCCUCCUGUGGAUCUCGGUGCUCCUGGUCGCUGUCUCUGAUCCGCGCCGCUAGCUGCAAGAACUUCAAAAGGAACAAUUAGGAAGAAGCGAAUGCACAUAUUUCAAGGAAGGAGGGGGAGUAAAGACUGCUAACUGAAGAGUUCUCUGAUAAACAAGAUGAGUCGGAGGAACAAGAAUCAAUCAUGAGAAGAUAUGCCAAGACUCGGUAUGGCAAAGGGACUGGAUGGGGGAGGGGAAAAAAACCUUUCCUUUCUUUCCUCUAUGUGAUUAAACAAGAAUCCCCCCCACCCUCACAAGUCAGAAAUGCCGUUUUAAUGACUUAAGCUGUGGAUUUACGGCUGUGUGGAGAUAAAUUUUUUAACCAAAGCAUGUUUUAAGAAAAGCGUGGAAAGUUUAAGAGUUUUGGAAUGACGCAGUUAAAAAUACCGUCGCCAUGUUGGCAAGCUCUGUCGGAGGACUUGAGUCUGGGAGGAGGAAAAGAGCUGUUUUUAUAUUGUGGGUGAGACUCCUCAGUGGGACUUAAGAACGACAGAUCCUGAGAUUAAUGAUGGAAAGAGCGAUGUUAUUUAUGAAAGUGAUGAUAUAUGGAAACCAUCUCAAUAUGAGGAUUGGACGAACGGAAAAAUCCACACAGGAUAUAAUUGGUGUUUAUCUGCUUAAGGAGAUUAUCAGAAGAGGUCAUAAAGAAAAAAAGAAAAAAUAUACGAACAAGAUGAGAUGUGGAAACAGCAAGAUAAGACUGGAU
rnacentral:lncRNA from 1 species